rnacentral:rRNA from 1 species
AGAGUUUGAUCAUGGCUCAGGAUGAACGCUAGCGGCAGGCUUAAUACAUGCAAGUCGUGGGGCAGCAUGGGGUAGCAAUACUCUGAUGGCGACCGGCAAACGGGUGCGGAACACGUACGCAACCUUCCUUUAACUGGAGAAUAGCCCCUCGAAAGAGGGAUUAAUACUCCGUAACAUGAUGAUAAGGCAUCUUAUUAUUAUUAUAGCUCCGGCGGUUAGAGAUGGGCGUGCGCCUGAUUAGGUAGUUGGCGGGGUAACGGCCCACCAAGCCUGCGAUCAGUAACUGGUGUGAGAGCACGACCAGUCACACGGGCACUGAGACACGGGCCCGACUCCUACGGGAGGCAGCAGUAAGGAAUAUUGGUCAAUGGACGCAAGUCUGAACCAGCCAUGCCGCGUGGAGGAUUAAGGCCCUCUGGGUUGUAAACUCCUUUUAUCUGGGAAGAAAUCCACAUAUUCUUAUGUGGUUGACGGUACCAGAGGAAUAAGCACCGGCUAACUCCGUGCCAGCAGCCGCGGUAAUACGGAGGGUGCAAGCGUUAUCCGGAUUCACUGGGUUUAAAGGGUGCGUAGGCGGGUAAGUAAGUCCGUGGUGAAAUCUCUGAGCUUAACUCAGAAACUGCCGUGGAUACUAUUUGCCUUGAAUAUUGUGGAGGUGAGCGGAAUAUGUCAUGUAGCGGUGAAAUGCUUAGAUAUGACAUAGAACACCAAUUGCGAAGGCAGCUCACUACACAAUCAUUGACGCUGAGGCACGAAAGCGUGGGGAUCAAACAGGAUUAGAUACCCUAGUAGUCC